rnacentral:rRNA from 1 species
UAGACCGAUAGCGAACAAGUAGAGUGAUCGAAAGAUGAAAAGCACUUUGAAAAGAGAGUUAAACAGCACGUGAAAUUGUUGAAAGGGAAGCGCUUGCGACCAGACUCGGCCUCGGGGUUCAGCCAGCAUUCGUGCUGGUGUACUUCCCCGGGGCCGGGCCAGCGUCGGUUCGGGCGGCCGGUCAAAGGCCCCAGGAAUGUAUCGUCCUCCGGGACGUCUUAUAGCCUGGGGUGCAAUGCGGCCAGCCUGGACCGAGGAACGCGCUUCGGCACGGACGCUGGCGUAAUGGUUGCAAACGACCCGUCUUGAAACACKGACCAAGUA